AGAGCGAACGCUGGCGGCAGGCCUAACACAUGCAAGUCGAACGGAUCCUUCGGGAUUAGUGGCGGACGGGUGAGUAACACGUGGGAACGUGCCUUUUGGUUCGGAACAACUCAGGGAAACUUGAGCUAAUACCGGAUGUGCCCUUCGGGGGAAAGAUUUAUCGCCAUUAGAGCGGCCCGCGUCUGAUUAGCUUGUUGGUGAGGUAAAGGCUCACCAAGGCGACGAUCAGUAGCUGGUCUGAGAGGAUGAUCAGCCACAUUGGGACUGAGACACGGCCCAAACUCCUACGGGAGGCAGCAGUGGGGAAUCUUGCGCAAUGGGCGAAAGCCUGACGCAGCCAUGCCGCGUGAAUGAUGAAGGUCUUAGGAUUGUAAAAUUCUUUCGACCGGGGAGAUAAUGACGGUACCCGGAGAAGAAGCCCCGAUAACCUCGUGCCAGCAGCCG
rnacentral:rRNA from 1 species